UUUUUUUUUUUUUGGUCUUUUUGCCUUUUCUAGGGCCGAACCUGUGGUAUAUGGAGGUUCCCAGGCUAGGGCUCUAAUUGGAGCUGUAGUUGCCGGCCUACGCCAGAGCCACAGCAACUCGGGAUCCCAGCCACAUCUGCGACCUACACCACAGCUCACGGCAAUGCCAGAUCCUUAACCCACUGAGCAAGGCCAGGGAUUGAACCCGCAAUCUCAUGGGUCCUAGUCGGAUUCAUUAACCACUGGGACACAACGGGAACUCCUGAAGUUUCACUUUUAAAUUAGCAUUUCCUUACCUCAAAGGGUAAAAAAAAAACCCCACAAGAUUCAACGCUUUGACGUGUUUUAUCAUUUCCUCAACACACUUAAAUUUAAUACACUCCUUUUAUAAUACUGGUAUAGAGCAAAACAGUAAAUUUCCAACAGUUCUCCUGUGUAAGUCUUUAGAAUUACCAGUACAAUAAUAAAGAAAUAAAGAAAACAUCGGAGGUCCUGCGGUGGCUCAGUGCUAAUGAACUGGACUAGUAUCCAUGAGGACAGGGGUUUGAUCCCUGGCCUUGCUCAGUGGGUUAAGAAUCUGGCAUUGCUGUGGGAUCCUGAGCUGCUGUGGCUGUGGCGUAGGCCAGCAGCUGUAGCUCUGAUUCCACCCCUAGAAUGGGAAUUUCCAUAUGCGUGGGUGUGGCUCUAAAAAGACAAAAAAAGAAAAGAAAACAUCAUCUGAAAGUCUCAAGGUAGACAAAGAUUACAAACUCUAGGGAUAAUCCAAAUAAAUUAUAAACUCGUUUAAUAAGGAAAUGUUUUUUGUUUGUUUUGCCACACCUGUAGCACAGAAGUUCCUGGGCUAGGGAUCAAAUCUGAACUACAGCUGUGUCCUAUGACCCAGCUGUGGCAAUGUAGGAUCCUUAACUGGCAGCAGGAAUUCCUAUACCUGCAUUCUUCUUAAGGGUUGUUAAGAACCAAUUAAGGAAUUAAAAAAGAGGACUAAAGCACUUAGAUAAUAAAAAUAUACAAAUAUUGAAGUGUACUUAAAAAAAAAACCCCUAAGUUAAAAUUUUCAUUAACUAUUAUUUAUUUAUUUAUUUAUUUAUUUAUUAGGCCUUUUUUAGGGCUGCACCCGCACCAUAUGGAGGUUCCCAGGCUAGGGGUCUAAUUGGAGCUGUAGCUGCCAGCCUACUCCAGAGCCACAGAAACACCAGAUCCGAGCCUCGUCUGCAACCUACACCACAGCUCAUGGCAACGCCUGAUCUUUAACCCACUGAGCAAGGCCAGGGAUAGAGCCCACAACCUCAUGGUUCCUAGUCGGCUUUGUUAAUCAUUAACUAUUUUCUAAGUCCUAAUUUUAUCUGACAAGCUAGUAACUAGAACAUUUACAAUUAUAGAAAAGACACCCUUCCUAAAAGAAGAUGUGAAAAGAUCAAUAAGUAAUAAUGUAAUCUCUUUCAUUAUCUGGCACUCCAGAAAGUUCAAGAUAAUCUAGUGUAUUUGAACAAGACUCUUGUUGAGAACUCUAUAAGCAACAUCAACAGACUACUGCAUUCAGCUGUAGCUCAUCUCUAGGUUAGUAAAUCAUAUUUGCCUAAUAUUCCCCAAUACAAUUAAACUUAUAUAAAGCAUUAGCAUUCAAAGUUCUAAAUAAAAACCAAUUAACACCCAAAUGCCAGCUUUUAUUUACUAUUUGUCUUCACCUUUAUAAAUAAAGGGUCAAAUACUGUCACAAAAAAAAAAAAAAAUGAGCAAGAGGAUAUUCACAGGGCUGUCAUUUUUUGGCCUCGCCCUUGACACGUGGAAGUUCCCUGGCCAGAGAUCAAAUCCAUACCACAGCAGUGACCCGAGUCACUGCAGUAACAAUGCCAGAUCCUUAACCUGCAGCGCCACAAGAGAACUCCCAUAGGGCUGUCUUUAAAGUAAGAGUGAAAGGAGUUCCCUGUUGGUUUAAUGGUUAAGGAUCCAGUGUUGCCACCGUUAUGUAACUGGUUCAAUCCCUGCCCAGGGAACUUCCACACACCUUGGGUAUGGCCAAAACAAGUAAAAUAAGAGUGAGAGGCAGACACAGAGAACAGACUUGUGGUUGUCAAGGGGGAGGGAUGAAUUGGGAGUUAGGAAUCAACAGAUGCAAACUAUUAUAUACAGAAUGGAUAAACAACAACGUACUACUGUAUAGCACAGGGAACUAUAUUUGAUAUUCUGUAAUAAACCAAAGGGAAAACAAUGUAGAAAAGAUUGUAUGGGAGUCUGCUGGUGGCUCAAUGGGUUAAGGAUUCAGCAUUGUCACCACUAUCAUGUGGUUCAAUCUGACUUGGGAACUUCUGUAUGGCAAGGGCAUAGGCAAAAAAAAAAAGGAAAGAAUGUACAUACAUUACUGAAUCACUUUGCUAUACAGCAGAAAUUAACACUGUAAAUCAACUAUACUUUAAUAAACUAAAAAAAGUAAGAGGGAAAAGGAAGAAUGAAACUGCUAAUAUAGCAACUGAGAUCACUACAUCUCUUGUUAAAAUGAUCUAGACUGUACAAUACCAACAAAAGGUGAGAAAGACAAAAUAAAAAUACAUUAACUUAAUUAGUGAAAAUGUCUCAAGACCUACCAUUUAAAUCUUCCAUCACACUGGUUAAAUACAAUACUCAUUAGAAUCACUGACUUAGAUCUUCCUCUGGAGCUCUCCUAGACUCCUAGCUCUAAGUGGAACUCAGUGUUUGUUAAAUUUAGUCUUUUGUCGUUUGAGGGCCAUACCGAGGCAUAUGGAGGUUCCCAGGCUGGGGGUCUAAUCUGAGCUGUAGCCGCCGGCCUACGCCAGAGCCCCAGCAAUGCCAGAUUCGAGCCAAGUCCUCGGCCUCCACCACAGCUCACAGCAACGCCAGAUCUUUAAGCCACUGAGCGAGGCCAGGAGUGGAACCCACAACCUCAUGGUUCCUAGUCAGAUUUGCUUCCGCUGCGCCAUGAUGGGAACUCUGGAAGCGCUUUUUAAAAAGUAAAAAAGUUACUGAGAGAAUAUCUUACUUGCAUCAAAUUACAAAGUUUUGUAUAUAGUCCAACCCCUACAGGUUCCAAGUGGAAAGAACUCCAGAAACAGUUACAGGGUAAAAUAUUUGGCCAUAAGCAUAGACAUUACGGCAGCACCCGUGGCAUAUGGAAGUUUCCAGGCUAGGGGUUGAAUUGGAGCUGCAGCUGCAUGUCUACAGCACAGCCACAGGUAGGCUGGAUCCAAGCCACAUCUGUGACCUAUGCCACAGCCUGUGGCAAUGCCCAGAUCCCUAACCCACUGAGUUGAGGCCAGGGAUCAAUCUUGCAUCCUCACAGAGACUAUGUUGGGUUCUUAACCUGCUGAGCCACAAAGGAAACUCCAACACUGCUAUAUUUUAAAAGAACAUCUAUUUAAAAAAAGAAAAAGCAUUUAAGGACCAGUCUUAGGAACUUUUUGAAAAUAAAAAUUCACUCAAGUUUUUGUUUUUGUGUUUCUUUUUAGGGCCAUACCCGAGCCAUAUGGAGGUACGGCCCUAAAAAAGCAAAAAAAGAAAAAAAAAAAAGAGUAAAAAACAGUAACCAAAAAACCUCCCACCAACCACCUUACAUUUGAUACUGUUACACAAACUGAAAGCUACAAACCCCUUUUAUGAGAGUUUAUUUUUAAUUUUUAUUUAUUUUUGGCUGCUAUGGUGACAUGUGGAAGUUCCUGGGCCAGGGAUGGAACCCACACCAGAGUCGCAGCCUGCACCAUAGCUGUGGCAAUGCCAGAUCCCUAACCUGCUGCAACCUCCUCUUUAAUGAGCAUUUAAAUGAGAAGUUUACAGUUCAAUGGUUACUCUAGCAUCCUUAACGAUAAAGCUUUGAGGUUAAACAGAAUAGUGGAGGAGUUCGCUGGUGGCCAAGGAGGUUAAGGAUCCAAUGUUGUCACUGCUGUGGUGCAGCUUCAGUCCCUGGCCUGGGAACUUCUGCAGGCAUGGACAAAGAAAAAAAAAAAAAAAAAGUAGGAAUAUUUGUUAUAGUUUGAGACUACACAAAAUUUUGUGCACAGUUUGAGACUUUUAAGAGACCUACAUUUGGGAGUUCCUUCAGUGGAGCGAUGGGAUCAGCAGUGUCUUGGGACCUCUGGGACAAUGGUUUGAUCCCCGGCCUGACACAGUGGAUUGCGGAUCUGGUGUUGCCGCAGCUGCAGCCUGGGUUGUACUAUGGCUCGGAUCUGAUCCCUGGCUUGGGAACUCCAUAUGCCUAGGGGUGGCCGAAAAAAAAAAAAAAAGAGAGAGAGAGAGAGAGAACUACACUUGAAUUCAAGGAGAUCUCAAGAGAGUCGCAUUCAGUAAGUGUUCAAAAUAAAACAAAUUAUACAACUAAUAAAUCUUCAGUUUACUUCUUCCAAGAAGCAAGCACACUUUUUCCUGCUUGACACAGCUUUGCAGAAAAGUGGGGAAAAAUUCAAUGGUAUGUUAAAAUCUGCAUAUUUUAAAAAAAAAGCACAAGUAGUGUCCCACUUUAUUCUUUUUUUUUUUUGAUCUUUUUGCCUUUUCUUGGGCAGCUCCUGCGGCAUAUGGAGGUUCCCAGGCUAGGGGUCAAAUCAGAGCUGUAGCCGCCGGCCUACACCAGAGCCACAGCAACACUGGAUCCUUAACCCACUGAUCAAGGCCAGGGAACGAACCGCAACCUCAUGGUUCCUAUUGGGAUUCAUUAACCACUGAGCCAUGAUGGGAACUCCAGUCCCACUUUAUUCUUAAACUAAGCAUCAAUAACAACAUGUAGUGCUGAAGAUCUGAAAGCUCAGAUAGUGAAAAGGAGCUCCAAAAGUUACAAGUUGGCUAACAGUCUCUCUAUUCUGCCUAAGAUUAAAUUCUGUCUUUCAAUAAAAGGUGACCAUUAGCUAGCCAGUUACACUUUGUUUUGUCCUAAUGUAACCCAUCAAGAAGACCUGAUCAAGACUUUCUUUUUUUUGUCUUUUUUUUUUUUUUUUUUUUUUUUUUUGUCUUUUUGUCUUUUGUUGUUGUUGCUAUUUCUUGGGCCGCUCCCGCGGCAUAUGGAGGUUCCCAGGCUAGGGGUCGAAUCGGAGCUGUAGCCACUGGCCUACGCCAGAGCCACAGCAACGUGGGAUCCGAGCCGCGUCUGCAACCUACACCACAGCUCACAGCAACGCCGGAUCGUUAACCCACUGAGCAAGGGCAGGGACCGAACCCGCAACCUCAUGGUUCCUAGUCGGAUUCGUUAACCACUGCGCCACGACGGGAACUCCUGAUCAAGACUUUCUGAUGGCAGUUUAUCCUCAAGUGUUUUCAAAUACUCAGAACAUUUUUUUUUUCUUUUUUUUUGUCUUUUUGUCGUUGUUGU
rnacentral:lncRNA from 1 species